AUUGAACGCUGGCGGCAUGCCUUACACAUGCAAGUCGAACGGUAACGCGGGGGCAACCCUGGCGACGAGUGGCGAACGGGUGAGUAACGCAUCGGAACGUGUCCUUUUGUGGGGGAUAACCUGGCGAAAGUCAGGCUAAUACCGCAUGAGACCUGAGGGUGAAAGCGGGGGAUCGCAAGACCUCGCGCGAGAGGAGCGGCCGAUGUCCGAUUAGCUAGUAGGUGGGGUAAAGGCCCACCUAGGCGACGAUCGGUAGCGGGUCUGAGAGGACGGCCCGCCACACUGGGACUGAGACACGGCCCAGACUCCUACGGGAGGCAGCAGUGGGGAAUUUUGGACAAUGGGGGCAACCCUGAUCCAGCCAUGCCGCGUGUGUGAAGAAGGCCUUCGGGUUGUAAAGCACUUUCGGCGGGAACGAAAUCGCUCUGGCUAAUACCUGGGGCGGAUGACGGUACUCGCAGAAGAAGCACCGGCUAACUACGUGCCAGCCGCCGCCGUAACAC
rnacentral:rRNA from 1 species